GUUUUUGGAAAAUGAAGACGUGGGAAUUAUCUAAGAAGCAUUCAGAGACCAGAUGACAUUUCUUAGAUUUCCCUUCUCAACCUCACCCUGAAGUUUAUCUAAUCUCAUUCCAAGGAUAGAAGAAGGCCUUGAGAACCCAGGACACAGCUACAAGUUUCUUUUCAUGUAAAAACAUUCUUUUGGAACCAAUCUCUGGUUGAGGAAGCAGAAACACAGAGAGCUUGACUAUCUGGUCCAAUGUCACCUAAGACGAGAUUUGACACCCAAGGUGACAAAGCUUAAGUGCCAUCCUCUAUGAAAAAUAACAAGCCAUUUAGAAGGAGGAGGAGGAGGAGAAAGGAAUGAGAUCUUCGUCCCUAAGCCAAGGUGGAAAAGUGAACCGUGUGAAAAACAUAAAGCAGAGCUGUUCCUGAGACCACCCAGUGUCAUCCGAGGAAGAAAGAACCGAGUAAGCGGAAAACCAAACCCUGGGAAUAUCAACAUACCAAACACACUUUGGGGAGGACAAUUAACAGACACAUGAGCAAAAUUGUUUUGUUUUUUUUAAAAAAUUGUCUGGAGAAAGCUUAUAGAAAUGAAUGAUUAUUUGUGCAAAAGUCAACCAAAAGAGGUAAAACUGAAAACCAUGAGGGGGAGCCAUCUAAGUGUGGUCCCUGUUAAUGGUCUAGGGAGGUGUAAAAUACAUCUCACU